rnacentral:rRNA from 1 species
CUGUGAUUUAUAUCUUAUACACAUGCGUGAGCGCACCAAACACCUAAAAUUGUAAUAAUACCAGUCACUAAGUUUUAACAAAACAAAACUUUCAACAACGGAUCUCUUGGUUCUCGCAUCGAUGAAGAGCGCAGCGAAAUGCGAUACCUAGUGUGAAUUGCAGCCAUCGUGAAUCAUCGAGUUCUUGAACGCACAUUGCGCCCCAUGGUAUUCCAUGGGGCAUGCCUGUCUGAGCGUCGUUUCCUUCUUGCGCAAGCAGAGUUGAGAACAGGCUAUGCCUUUUUCGAAAUGGAACGUCGUGGACGAAGUGAACUAAACAUUUAGCACGCUUUGGCCGCCGAACUUUUAACUAAGCUCGACCUCAGAUCAGGUAGG